rnacentral:rRNA from 1 species
GCUUACGGCCAUACCAACCUGGCUAUGCCCGAUCUCGUUGAUCUCGGAAGCUAAGCAGGUUUGGGCCUGGUUAGUACUUGGAUGGGAGACCGCCUGGGAUACCAGGUGCUGUAAGCU